rnacentral:rRNA from 1 species
UACGAAGGGUGCAAGCGUUACUCGGAAUUACUGGGCGUAAAGCGUGCGUAGGUGGUUUGUUAAGUCUGUUGUGAAAGCCCCGGGCUCAACCUGGGAACUGCAUUCGAGACUGGGAGACUUGAGUUCGGGAGAGGAGAGCGGAAUUCCCAGUGUAGAGGUGAAAUUCGUAGAUAUUGGGAAGAACACCGGUGGCGAAGGCGGCUCUCUGGACCGAUACUGACGCUGAGGCGCGAAAGCGUGGGGAGCAAACAGG